ensembl:snRNA U1 U1 spliceosomal RNA
AAACUUACCUGGCAGAAGAUAUAUCAUGAUCACAAAGGUGGUUUUCCCAAGGAAAGGCUUAUCCAUUGUACUCCGGAUGUGCUGAGCCCACCAAUUUCCCCAAAUGUGGGAAACUUGACUACAUAAUUUGUGGUAGUGGGGGACUGUGUGUGCUCUCUUCCCUG